rnacentral:rRNA from 1 species
GUAUAUAACCUUACAUUCAAAGUUUCUGUAGAAGGGAGCAGCACAGUUUGUGCCUAAGAAUGGAUGAAGGCCUGGUUGGUACUUGAAUGGGAGAGACUGCCUGGGAAUAUCUGGUGCUGUAGCCU